UGCAAUGCAAUCUUGAUUCUUUCUUCCUUCGAUUUUGUUUUCCGUUAAAAAUCAUUCUCUUCCAUUCAGCUCUGUUCCGAAUUCCGCUCAAGAACAAAUUGCAUGCAUGUUUGGGAACUCAGAAAAAGAAAGCAAAGAAAAUAUAUUAGCGUUCACAUCCACCUGAAGUGUUAGCUCUUCAGGAUCUAUACAGAACCUUUAACUACCCACCGAUGCUCAAAGGAUGGAAUGGUAGCGAUCCUUGUGGGGAGUCUUGGACAGGAGUUGCUUGUUCUGGACCAUCAGUCAUACAGCUGUAGUGCACAAAGUUCACUGAUUAUAUUUCCUAUUUAGAUCAUAGUUAAUGUCACUAAUAACUGUUAGUAAUUCGCUCUGUCUACACGCACAAAAUUUCAAGGAUUAAACCUCACUGGGUAUCUGGGAAGUAUGCUAUAUAAUCUACCUAACUUGAAGCAACUGUGAGAGUUUGUAUGGCAUUAGCCUCUUAUCUGGAUUUAUUGUCAAGAUCUGAUAUUUAUUUAUUUCCAUGUUAUGGUUUCUGCAGUGAUGUCAAUUCAAAUAACAUCGUGGGCGAAAUACCAUUCGGUCUAACCCCCAAUGUCGUACAUAUGAAUUUAAACCACAUGCAAUUUACUACAUGGACCCAUUGGUGAUGUAUUUACUGGUAUAGAUAAUCUCAAAGAAAUGGACCUCUCAUACAAUAAUUUCUCAGGAGAUCUGCCGUGUUCAUUUGGUUCCUUAAGAAACCUUGACAGAUUGUUCCUGCAGAAUAACGGAUUCACUGGAUCAAUUACUAACUUGGCUGAACUUCCACUAACAGAUUUGUAGGGUUAUCAUUCACAUUUUCCCAAUGUAUAUUUUCAGUUCUAUAACUAUUACUUUGCUCAUUUGCCUAUACUUCCAGGAACAUUCAAGAUAAUCUGUUUAGUGGCAUUCUUCCACAGCAUUUUCAAUCCAUACUGAAUUUAUGAUUAGUGAUAACUAUUUCAAGUGUUGAUCACCUCUAGUUUCUUGCAUCAAAUGAAAUAAUGAACGUAUAACAUUGAAUAAUCACACUAUACCUUCAAUUAGGAUUGGAGAGAAUAAAUUCUGUGUGGCGGACAACACUCCUCCCUGGAGUUUUCCUCUGGAUACUGUAUCAGUUGAGCAUAACACUAGUAGCCCACCCACAAAUCAAGCAAAUGCCAUAAAGAAUUAUUCCCCUCCCAGGGUAAGUGUGGCUACUCCCAGAGUAAAUGAGGCUCCCCCUAGAUUAAGUGAGGCUCUUCCCGGAGUAAAUGAGGCUCCUCUCAGAGUAAGUGAGCACAAGAAGAAACGUAUAGGUCCUGGAGGCAUGGCAUGUAUGAUUGGUGGAGGAACACUGGUGGCCACAGUGGUGGCACUCUUUGUUGCCAACCUGUUUGAAUAAAAUUCGUGAAGAGAGCCCAAACUCGAAGACCUCAGAAAGCAAUCAUGGCUCAUUGCAUUCUCAUCCGACCAGUGCAACCAUAGGGAUCUCUUCUACCGCACUAGAGGAGAGACAGAGCCCACAAAUCCCCCCAUUAAUUUUGCAUCCCUUUUGGGCCCUGUGGGAUUGCCUUCCCUGACCAUAACAAUACAGAGGAGCCAUUAAGAAGUUAUUCCAGUACAAAAUUAGAUAAUAAGAGGAUGUUACUAUAAGUUUUUCAGCAAUAAGGAUUGUAUUUUAUAAGUUAUAGUAGCUAAAAGCUGCUUAAAUUUCAUAAACCAGCUGUUUCAAAGUGAAUCAGAAGUUUGAUAACAGUCUUCUUUAGUAUGCUUAUUGCAGGCAUAUAUAGGUUCAUUGAUCGCUUAGGUGAUUGUUGGAAAUAGGCUAAUGAGAUUAAUAUUGAAGAGAUAUCUUAGCAUUAUGUAACUAGAGUUAGCUUAGUUGGUUAAUC